CAUAAACAUGUGGUAACUAAUGAGGAUUAAAUGUAGCAGUUUUAUCAGAAUACUUCACUCUUUCAAAAUUUGUCCAGUUGGACAGCAGAUCUUCUAAACCUCUUUCAGAUAGGAAAGUGCACUCACAACUUGUACAUUUUGCAACGCUGCUGCUCUGAGGGCAUAUAUCUGACAUGAUGACUUUGGCAGCUGGAAGAAGUAGGAGGAAUACAGGAAACAUCAAAAUAUCCAAGUAAUGCUUAGAAGUAUUGUCUGCUUGAUUUUGAAAUAAACAAAAAUGGAAUUUUA